ACUGAAACAUUGGUUCCCAUAUGAUCACUGAAGUUAAGCAAUGUCAAGCCUGAUCAGUACCUAGAUAGGUGACUGCUUGGAAAUACAAGCUGCUGUAAU